rnacentral:rRNA from 1 species
UGGGGAAUCUUGCGCAAUGGGCGAAAGCCUGACGCAGCAACGCCGCGUGAGCGAAGAAGGCCUUCGGGUUGUAAAGCUCUGUCAGGAGGGACGAAGCCACUCGGGUGAACAGCCCAGAGGGUGACGGUACCUCCAGAGGAAGCCCCGGCUAACUACGUGCCAGCAGCCGCGGUAAUACGUAGGGGGCGAGCGUUGUCCGGAAUCAUUGGGCGUAAAGCGCGUGUAGGCGGCUUGGCAAGUCUGGUGUGAAAGCUCGAGGCUCAACCUCGAGUCUGCACCGGAAACUGCCUUGCUAGAGUCCGGAAGAGGAGACUGGAAUUCCUGGUGUAGCGGUGAAAUGCGCAGAUAUCAGGAAGAACACCGGUGGCGAAGGCGGGUCUCUGGGACGGUACUGACGCUGAGACGCGAAAGCGUGGGGAGCAAACA